UAGCAUAUCAAUAAGCGGAGGAAAAGAAACCAACAGGGAUUGCCCCAGUAACGGCGAGUGAAGCGGCAACAGCUCAAAUUUGAAAUCUGGCCCCAGGCCCGAGUUGUAAUUUGCAGAGGAUGCUUUUGGCGCGGUGCCUUCCGAGUUCCCUGGAACGGGACGCCAUAGAGGGUGAGAGCCCCGUACGGUUGGACACCAAGCCUUUGUAAAGCUCCUUCGACGAGUCGAGUAGUUUGGGAAUGCUGCUCUAAAUGGGAGGUACAUUUCUUCUAAAGCUAAAUAUUGGCCAGAGACCGAUAGCGCACAAGUAGAGUGAUCGAAAGAUGAAAAGCACUUUGAAAAGAGGGUUAAACAGCACGUGAAAUUGUUAAAAGGGAAGCGCUUGUGACCAGACUUGCGUCCGGUGAAUCACCCAGCUCUCGCGGCUGGGGCACUUCGCCGGCACAGGCCAGCAUCAGCUUGCCGUCGGGGACAAAAGCUUCAGGAACGUGGCUCCUCUCGGGGAGUGUUAUAGCCUGUUGCACAAUACCCUUCGGCGGGCUGAGGUACGCGCUCCGCAAGGAUGCUGGCGUAAUGGUCAUCAGCGACCCGUCUUGAAACACGGACCAAGGAGUCAACCUUAUGUGCGAGUGUUUGGGUGUCAAACCCCUACGCGUAAUGAAAGUGAACGCAGGUGAGAGCUUCGGCGCAUCAUCGACCGAUCCUGAUGUUCUCGGAUGGAUUUGAGUAAGAGCAUAUAGGGUUGGACCCGAAAGAAGGUGAACUAUGCGUGUGUAGGGUGAAGCCAGAGGAAACUCUGGUGGAGGCUCGCAGCGGUUCUGACGUGCAAAUCGAUCGUCAAACAUGCGCAUGGGGG
rnacentral:rRNA from 1 species